ACGCUCGACACCUACGGAGGCAGCAGUGGGGAAUAUUGGGCAAUGGGCGCAAGCCUGACCCAGCAAUGCCGCGUGAAGGAAGAAGGCUUUCGGGUUGUAAACUUCUUUUGUCAGGGAAGAGAAGAAGACGGUACCUGACGAAUAAGCCACGGCUAACUACGUGCCAGUAGCCGCGGUAAUCUGAGCGGGCUGGCAAGGC
rnacentral:rRNA from 1 species